rnacentral:rRNA from 1 species
GACGAACGCUGGCGGCGUGCCUAAUACAUGCAAGUCGAGCGGACAGAAGGGAGCUUGCUCCCGGAAGUUAGCGGCGGACGGGUGAGUAACACGUGGGCAACCUACCCUGUAGAUCGGGAUAACAUCGAGAAAUCGGUGCUAAUACCGGAUAAUCAUUUGAAGUGCAUGCUUCGAAUGUAAAAGAUGGCUCCGGCUAUCACUACGGGAUGGGCCCGCGGCGCAUUAGCUAGUUGGUAAGGUAAUGGCUUACCAAGGCAACGAUGCGUAGCCGACCUGGGAGGGGGAUCGGGCACACUGGGACUGUGACACGGCCCAGAUUCCUACGGGAGGCAGCAGUAGGGAAUCUUCCGCAAUGGACGAAAGUCUGACGGAGCAACGCCGCGUGAGUGAUGAAGGUUUUCGGAUCGUAAAGCUCUGCUGUUAGGGAAGAACAAGUGCCGUUUGAAUAAGGCGGCACCUUGACGGUACCUAACCAGAAAGCCACGGCUAACUACGUGCCAGCCGCCGCAGUAAAAC